GACGAACGCUGGCGGCGUGCUUGACACAUGCAAGUCGAACGGAAAGGCCCUGCUUUUGUGGGGUGCUCGAGUGGCGAACGGGUGAGUAACACGUGAGUAACCUGCCCUUGACUUUGGGAUAACUUCAGGAAACUAGGGCUAAUACCGGAUAGGAGCUCCUGCUGCAUGGUGGGGGUUGGAAAGUUUCGGCGGUUGGGGAUGGACUCGCGGCUUAUCAGCUUGUUGGUGGGGUAGUGGCUUACCAAGGCUUUGACGGGUAGCCGGCCUGAGAGGGUGACCGGCCACAUUGGGACUGAGAUACGGCCCAGACUCCUACGGGAGGCAGCAGUGGGGAAUAUUGCACAAUGGGCGGAAGCCUGAUGCAGCAACGCCGCGUGCGGGAUGACGGCCUUCGGGUUGUAAACCGCUUUCGCCUGUGACGAAGCGUGAGUGACGGUAAUGGGUAAAGAAGCACCGGCUAACUACGUG
rnacentral:rRNA from 1 species